GGGCAGGCAUUAAAAGGACAUUUACACCAGGUGUGCUAAAGUAACUGUGGGGAUAGUAAUGGUUUAGCCUCAGGGACUACUGAGGGUAGCCCAUUCUUUCCUACUACAGUA
ensembl:snoRNA SNORA66 Small nucleolar RNA SNORA66